rnacentral:lncRNA from 1 species
GGUCUACAUCGUACAAGGGAAGGUUGAAACUUGAAAAAUAGGAAGCCUCACCAACCACUGUUUUGUCUCAAACACCUGAUAUUAAAAUGUUAAAAUAUAGGGAUUAAAUCGAUAAUUUACUUAUAAUACAAAUAUUAAUAGCGUAAUUUAUAUUUUUUUGGGUCAAAAUUAAAGGGUAUCUAUCGUCGAUAAUAAUAACUAACUCUCGCACCACAGAUGUUUUCCGAAGAGGUAAAUUGUUGGUCACAAAAUAUGUUCUAUCCUCAUGGACAAGGAUCAGAUCUCCGACCAUAUGAUUAAAGGACAAGAUGAGCAAUCACCACGCCACACUUUAUAAUUCUCCAAACUUUAAAUUGUUAUAUAAAAAAAGUCUUUAAAAUAUCAGUACCAAAUUAAUUAAAUGAUCAGUUCAUUAACUUAGAUGUCAUGUAACAUAUUUAAAAUGCAUUAAUCAAAUUUAAAGCACACACGAAUCUAUCGUAUCGAGCUGACGUCUUAAAAGAAUUAAUCCUCGUGAAAUUUCAUGAUAAUCUACUGUUUUAAACACAUUAAAUUCAAACCCAAUCCGUAUUUUUAUUCAUUUAUUUAUUUUAAAACAUAAAAUCCAAUUGAGUGGAUGUCAUUUGUUUUGGGGCCAACAUCCUACAAGAGGUAAGUUGAAAAAUAAGAAGCCUCAUGAAUCACGAUUGUCUCAUUUUAAGGACCACAAAUUUUUGUUAUAUGUUUUUAUUUUGUGUGUCUUCCAAAAAAUAAGCACAAAUUUAUGGCAUUCAUAGCAUGUAUCAUGCUUGCAUCUAAAUUAUUUUGAGUGGACAUAGUCCACGUCCACACGCCUCUCCAUAAUUUUAUUAAAUAAUAAUUAUAUUUCGAUGGAAGUUUACAAUAAUUAUUAUAAUAGACAUUGAUCAUAGUGGUAGAACGAUAAUAAAAUAAUAAAUAAAAUAAAAAUACAUAGAUUUUAUGUAGAAAACUUUUUCAGAAAAAGUCACGAGCGGAGAAGGAGAAAUUCACUAAUGUUGGAAAAUGAGUUUCGACUAUAUCUAUUUUUAAGGGUUGAAACACCCUGUUCUAAUCAAAAUCAAAUAGAAGAAGAAUAGUUUUAUACAAAUUCAACUUAUGCUAUAUUUAUUUCUGCAACAAGUGACGGGAUUUAGGUCACAAACUCUAACAAUAACAAUGAAAUCAACGCCCAAAAGAGCUAAAUUACAUUUUGGUCAUUAAACAUUAAAAAAUAGAAUGAUUAUUGAAUUAUUUGAAAGUUUUCAUUUAAAUAACUGAAUUUUUAAAAUCGUUGUUGUAUGGCCUUCUUUAUUCGCAUCAUUUGCACCAAUCAAAAACUCUUGCUCUCAUUCUCUUUCUCUUCUACAAUUCAAUUUUUUUUUUCAUGAAACAACUCAGAAUGUAUACGAACCAAAAUCCAAACAGCUUUCUUCUACGAUCUCCGACACGGAUCGUUAUAACGACUUGGAUCUGAGGUAUAUUCUUCUAUUCGUUCGAUGGGUACUGAUCCACCGUACCAAUCAUUGAAUAAUCACUUAGAGCUUGCUAGUCGGACUCAAAAAAAAACUUAACAGUUUAAUAACUUAAAUAAAAACUUUCAAAUAAUUCAAUGACUUAAAUGAAAACUUUUAAAUAAUUUAAUGAUCAUUUUAUAACUUUUUGAAGUUGAGUGACUAAAACGUAAACUUACUUUUAGUUUAGUGACAUUGGGUGUAGUUUACGCAUAUAUUAUUUGGUUCUUGACUUUGACUUCAAUUUUCAAUUUGGUACUUAAGAUUUUUUUUCUCAAUUCAGUACAUGAGUUUGACUUCAAUAUUCAAUUUAAUACCUUAAUACUUGAUUUUUUUUGUCUCAAUUAAGUAUAUGAGUUUGGCUUCAAUAUUAAAUUUGGUAUUUGACUGUUUUUUUAUUUAUUGGACUGUGUGAUACUAUUUAAAUUGAAUAUCAAAUUAAACAUUGGAACUAAACUCAAGUACCAAAUUGAGUAUUGAAAUCAAUCUCAAGUACCAAAUGAUAUAUUGACUUAUAUAAAUCGACUUUAUACGAUUUAACUUUUUAUUAUUAUUCGAAUUUGAUUUAAUUAGACAAUAAAUAAAUAAUUUAAUUUCAAAAUACUGAAAAUUUGAUUAUUACAUAUUUGAUUAAUAGUGCAAAUAUAUAAAAAUUUCUUUAAAUCAAAUAAAAUAUUUUUAUAUAUUUAAAUAUCAUUAUCAAUGCUGCAUAAGUAAAAUUUUAACAUUAAAAAAUUAUAGUCUAACAAAAAUAAUUAAAAGAAAUAUAACUCUUUUUAUAUCAAAAAAAUAUAUAUAGUAUUAAUAUUAAUAAAAGUAUGCCAACGGAACCUUAACUUAGUUAGUAUCGUUGCAAUUAUAACAACUAUAAAUUUAAGUAAUUGUGUAAUAUAUCAAUAAAAUAAUUAAAAAAAAUUAUCGGUUGAGUCUUGACUCAAUUGACAUAUUUCUUCCUACAAUAACUCUGAUUUAAUUUCAGCAACUGGAAUUGGAAUUCCACACUCUUGGUCCUGUGAGUUUAUAUACACAUAUUGUGUGUUUGACAGACGAAAAUGAAGACUUGAGUUUAUAUACUCAUAAAGCUAGUCAAAUUCAACAUAGAACAAGGGAAAGAAAGGUUUUUCAUGUUUAACCAAAAAUAAAUAAAUUUUUACCUGUAUGUAUAGCAGAGGUUGAUGGUAUAGAAAAUUCGGAAGGUCUAUGGGCAGGAACAACCUUUCCGGGUUCAUACUGAGUCAAACACCGUUCACUGAUUCUUAGCUACGGCAUGAUCUUUUAGCAGCAAAGAUUCUAAUGCUUGAGUAUUUGGAAAAUAGCAUCUCCAAUAUGGCCUGUGGAGCAAAGGGAAAUAAGAAACUAAAGAAUGCUAAGCAAAAGGGUGGUCAACCUCACAUGAGAUUAGCAUCCAACCUAAAAUCAGCUAGCAAUAGGCAAUGGUGGGGCUUAACUUGAAUGUAAGAGCACACAAAACUCAAUACUUUAACAUUCUCUCUCACUUGUAGCUCAACAAGGGUUUGCACGAGGACGACCUCACAAGAGGAUGGACACAACUACUUAUGAGAUGUAGGAUAACACCACUUAAGUAGCUUGAAUUAAAUUGUUUAUGUAGUGCUCUAUUAUAGGCUCGGAAUAACACAAUCUAGAACAGAGCUUUUCGAGACCAGUAAUCUAAGAGAAUAGUUUUUGACUAAAUCUAAGUUAAACGAUGCUCGGAAAAAAGUUACCUGAUACUAG